CCGAACUCUUUAUAACAUUAUUUACAGAGACCCAACAGUACCACCAUGAGCAAGACCUUGGAGACAAGGGCAAGGAAACACUGCCUGUUAAAAGGCAGAAACCUAGGACAGAUCCUCCGGCUCUAGGUGGGUGGUCGUCUGUCUCGACCAGUUGGGGUGAGAGAGAGAGAGAGAGAGAGAGAGAGAGAGAGAGAGAGAGAGAGAGAGAGCGACAGACAGACAGACAGGUGCACAGCAACAACAGUAUUGGCAAUGGCAGUCAAGCAGGACCAUGGCAGGAGGCUCCACCAGGAUCCAUGAGAACCUGCGAGACGAGAAAGCACAAGAACUCCGGGGAAGAAGUGGAGUUAGUAACAUGCAUUAAAGGGACAUGAAUGAGUGCAGAAAGAGAGAGGAAGGGAGGAGCUCAGUGCACCAUGGGAAAUCCCCCGAUAGUCUAGGCCUAUAGCAGCAUAACUAAGGGAUGGUUCAGGACUCACCUGAUCCAGCCCUAACUAUAAGCUUUAUCAAAGAGGAAUGUCUUAAGCCUACUCUUGAAUGUGGUGAGGGUGUCUGCCUCCCGAACCACAACUGGAAGCUGGUUCCACAGGAGAGGAGCUUGGUAACUGAAGGCUCUGGCUCCUGUUCUACUUUUUAGAGACUAUAGGAACCACAAGUAGCCCAGCAUUCAGAGAACGUAGUGUUCUAGUGGGGUAAUAGGGUACUAUGAGCUCUUUAAGAUAUGAAGGGGCCUGACCAUGAAGAGCUUUAUAGGUGAGGAGGAGGAUUUUAAAUUCAAUUCUACAUUUUAUAGGGAGCCAAUGCAGAGUAGCUAGUACAGGAGAGAUGUGAUCUCUUUUUCUAGUUCCUGUCAGUACUCGUGCUGCAGCGUUCUGAAUUAAUUGGAGCGUUUUAAUGGACUUAUUGGGGCAACCUGAUAAUAAAGAGUUGCAGUAAUCCAGCCUUGAAGUAACAAAUGCAUGGAUUAGUUUUUCUGCAUCUGUCUGUGAUAGGAUGUGUCUAAUUUUUCUAAUAUUACGUAAAUGAAAGAAGGCAGUCCUAGAGGUCUGCUUUAUGUGGGAGUUAAAUGACAAAUCCUGAUCAAAGAUAACUCCAAGAUUCCUGACAGUGGUGCUAGAGG